UGCCCCGUAGUUCAGUUGGUAGAACAACUGCCUGUUAAGCAGAAGGUCACUGGUUCGAGCCCAGUCGGAGCAGC
rnacentral:tRNA from 1 species